rnacentral:rRNA from 1 species
GCUGGUUGGCUACGUUCGGGAAGGAUAACCGCUGAAAGCAUCUAAGCGGGAAGCCUGCUUCGAGAUGAGAUUUCCAACCCCACUUGUUGGGGGUGAGGUGUCCUAUAGAUUAUGGGUUUGAUAGGCCGGGUAUGGAAGCACUGUGAGGUGUGGAGUUGACUGGUACUAAUACGCCGAUCACUCA